rnacentral:rRNA from 1 species
UACGGAGGGUGCGAGCGUUGUCCGGAAUCACUGGGCGUAAAGGGCGCGUAGGCGGCGCGGAUAGUCGGCGGUGAAAGCCCGGAGCUCAACUCCGGGUCGGCCGUCGAUACUUCCGGGCUUGAGCACUGUAGAGGCAGAUGGAAUUCCGGGUGUAGCGGUGGAAUGCGUAGAGAUCCGGAAGAACACCGGUGGCGAAGGCGGUCUGCUGGACCCCUCCUGACGCUGAUGCGCGAAAGCCAGGGUAGCGAACGGG